GGUUUUGGUUUUUAACUUGAGUCUUCCGCUGCCUCACCUUUGAGAGAACCAGCACAGGGGGUUUUCUCCAACAUUCAGGACCAAGGGAACAGGGGUCCAUUCCUGAGAAAUAAGAAAGAAUCAGAGCAGACAAAUUCAAGGAAGCAGCUCCAAAUGUUUGCCACUUCAGAAACCCAGCAGGAGCCAGCAGACAAGGAUGCUGAUGACAUGAGCAGAGAGAGACACUAAUGAAAUUAUUUUUCCUUCUCCAUGAAAGCAAGGAUUUUGCUGUUUUGUUCACUACUCCAUCCCCAGCAGCUACAAUUCAACAAAUGUGUGAAUUAAAGAAUGAACAGACGGGGAACAGCUGGUGUCUCAAACAGGGCAGGAAGACACCACCAUGGAUGCAAAGGACAGCUUCAUCAGUGAGCUGGGCCCCCCGGUACAUAGUUGUAUAUUCUUCGUUGUGGGUCCUUCUAGUUGUGGCAUGUGGGAGGCUGCCUCAGCGUGGUUUGAUGAGCAGUGCCAUGUCCGCGCCCAGGAUUCGAACCAAUGAAACACUGGGCCGCCUGCAGCGGAGCACGCGAACUUAACCACUCGGCCACGGGGACAGCCCAAUCUCUUGUACUUUUUGAAGGGAGGAAAAAAAAAAAGUGAACAAACUACAGAGUAAGAACCAGGGCACAGUAAGUCUAUGGAUUGUCCACGAAGCUUGGAACACUGUCACAAAACCCCUGAGAAAUCAGUGAAAAGCUGACCUCCUUCAAAGGUAAGUCCAGAUAUUUCCAAUCCAG
rnacentral:lncRNA from 1 species